ensembl:lncRNA
GGGUGUAGGGGUGAGGGUGUGUAGAGGAGGAUGUAGGGGUGAGGGUGUGUAGAGGAGGAUGUGGAGAAGAUGGUGGGUGUACAGGGGACAGGGGGUAUGUAGGGUGGGUGUGAAGAUAGAGGUUGUAGGGAGGAGGGUGUGGAGGGGGGUGUAGGGGUGAGGGUGUAUAGAGGAGGUUGUAGGGGUGAGGGUGUGUAGAGGAGGUUGUGGAGAAGAUGGUGGGUGUACAGGGGACAGGGGGUAUGUAGGGUGGGUGUGAAGAUAGAGGUUGUAGGGAGGAGGGUGUGUGGGGGGGUGUAGGGGUGAGGGUGUGUAGAGGAGGUUGUAGGGGUGAGGGUGUGUAGAGGAGGUUGUAGGGGUGAGGGUGUGUAGAGGAGGAUGUGGAGAAGAUGGUGGGUGUACAGGGGACAGGGGGUAUGUAGGGUGGG